rnacentral:rRNA from 1 species
AUUGAACGCUGGCGGCAUGCCUUACACAUGCAAGUCGAACGGCAGCAUGAUCUAGCUUGCUAGAUUGAUGGCGAGUGGCGAACGGGUGAGUAAUACAUCGGAACGUGCCCUGUAGUGGGGGAUAACUAGUCGAAAGAUUAGCUAAUACCGCAUACGACCUGAGGGUGAAAGUGGGGGACCGCAAGGCCUCAUGCUAUAGGAGCGGCCGAUGUCUGAUUAGCUAGUUGGUGAGGUAAAGGCUCACCAAGGCGACGAUCAGUAGCUGGUCUGAGAGGACGAUCAGCCACACUGGGACCGAGACACGGCCCAGGCUCCUACGGGAGGCAGCAGUGGGGAAUUUUGGACAAUGGGGGCAACCCUGAUCCAGCAAUGCCGCGUGUGUGAAGAAGGCCUUCGGGUUGUAAAGCACUUUUGUCCGGAAAGAAAUCGCACUUACUAAUAUUAGGUGUGGAUGACGGUACCGGAAGAAUAAGGACCGGCUAACUACGUGCCAGCCGCCGCAGUAAAAC